GGGGAAAAGUGGGAAUUUGAGGGAAUAACGAGGGUUGGGGGGGAUGAGGAGGGGUUUUGGGGGAAAAAAGGGCGAUUUUUUUGGGGAAAAAGAGGGAUUUUGGAGAGAAAGGGGGGAAAAUUGGGAGGGAUUAAAGGGGAAUUUCAGUAUUGGGGCCUAGUUGGGUAAUUUGGGUUAAAAAUAGGCAAUUUUGGGUUGAAAUGAAGCCAUUUUUGGGCUAGAACUGGGUGGUUUUGGGGACAAAAUAGGGGAUUUUGAAGUAGAAAUGGGCAAUAUUGAGGUAAAAUUUCCGAUUUUGGGGCUAAAAGGAGUAAUUUUGAGGUAGAAUGGGCAAUUUUGAGGUAGAAAUGGAUGAUUUUGGGGUAAAACUGAUGAUUUUGGGGUAAA